UCUCUCUCUCUCUCUCUAUCUCUCUCUCUAAGUAACAGGACAUCAGCAAGAAAUUAACCUCGCCGGCGGCCAUGGGGCUGUGUGGCUUGUUCAAUAGGAAGACGAACAAUGAUCGACGCUCUACUAAAGAUCAGCAACAGGUGGUGCAGCCCGGUGCAGUUCAAGAAGGCCGGCCUCAGCAAACCCCUUCAGCUCAGACUACUGCUCCUUCAUCUGCAAAAGAGCAAUCGGAGCUUAAGCCUCUUGGCGAUGGACAAACUCCACUUCCGUUCCUUGAAAAUCUUCCAAAGUUUUAUACUUACGAACAGCUGGCAAAGGCAACUGGGGAUUUCACCAACAACAACCUAAUUGGUGUGGGUGGUUCUGGUCAAGUUUUUCGGGGAGAACUUCCAGAUGGUAAAGUGGUUGCCAUUAAGAAGCUUAAGUAUACUGCUGGACAGGCGGAAUUGGAAGGGGCGCAAGCUCAAUUCGAGACUGAGAUUAAAACCAAUAGCAGCAUCCGUCACCGGAAUCUUGUAGAGGUGAUAGGGUAUUGCAGUGAUAAAGCUGAUCAAUUGUUUGUUUGUGAGUUUGUUCCCAACAAAUCAUUGAGAUAUCAUUUGCAUGGAAAGGAAGAUAAGAUAAUCAAUUGGCCAAACAGAAUGAAAAUCGCUGUAGGGUCUGCUAAAGGAUUGGCAUAUUUACAUGAAGGAUGUCCAAAAACAAUAAUCCACCGAGAUAUCAAGAGCGAAAACAUUCUUCUAGAUCAUAACUUUGAACCAAAGAUUGCAGAUUUUGGACUAGCUAAAGUGUUUUUGGAUUAUCAAACUCAUGUUUCCACUAAACUAAGGGGAACUUUUGGUUAUUUGGCUCCUGAGUAUAUCAAGGAUAAAAGGAUCACUGUUAAAUCCGAUGUCUUUUCCUUUGGGGUGGUGCUUCUGGAGUUGAUUACGGGGAAACUAGUUGAAAAGGAAGGCAAUGAUUCUCGCAACUUGGCUCUUCGGGCAACGUCUCUACUCAAACAAGCUUUGGACACCGGCAAUUACAAGCCUCUUGUUGAUUCCAAAUUGCAAGACUAUAACAAAGAUGAAAUGACACGCAUGAUUUAUUGUGCCAUAGCUUGUGUCUAUAAACCUGAAAGUUCACGCCCAAAAAUGAGCCAGAUAUUUGAAGUCCUACAAGGAAAUAUGGCAGUGGAGCGUAUAUGGGUGAGCGAGGACGUCAAAUUCAUAUACGAUGGAGCUCCAU
rnacentral:misc_RNA from 1 species